UCUCCGUAGGUGAACCUGCGGAGGGAUCAUUACUGAGUGAGGGUCUCCGGGCCCGACCUCCAACCCUUUGUUGACCGAACCACUUUUGCCUCGGGGGCAGAGCGGCCUCCGCCGCCCCCGGUGGACCACUUAACACUGUCUCUGUACGUCGGAGUCUUUGAUAAAUAAAUGAAAACUUUUAACAACGGAUCUCUUGGUUCUGGCAUCGAUGAAGAACGCAGC
rnacentral:misc_RNA from 1 species